rnacentral:rRNA from 1 species
CCUUCGGGCGGCAGCAGUGGGGAAUAUUGGGCAAUGGGCGAAAGCCUGACGCAGCGACGCCGCGUGAGGGAUGAAGGUCUUCGGAGCGGAAACCUCUGUUAGCAGGGAAGAACGGUCACUGUGCUAAUCAGCAGUGAAUUGACGGUACCUGCAAAGGAAGCACCGGCUAACUCCGUGCCAGCAGCCGCGGUAAUACGGAGGGUGCGAGCGUUAAUCGGAAUUACUGGGCGUAAAGCGCUCGUAGGCGGUAUGUCAAGUCAAGGGUGAAAUCCCCGCGCUCAACGUGGGAAUUGCCUUUGAUACUGGCAGACUUGAGUGUGUGAGAGGAAAGCGGAAUUCCUGGUGUAGGAGUGAAAUGCGUAGAUAUC